AUUGAACGCUGGCGGCAGGCCUAACACAUGCAAGUCGAGCGGAUGAAGGGAGCUUGCUCCUGGAUUCAGCGGCGGACGGGUGAGUAAUGCCUAGGAAUCUGCCUGUUAGUGGGGGAUAACGUCCGGACACGGGCGCUAAUACCGCAUACGUCCUGAGGGAGAAAGUGGGGGAUCUUCGGACCUCACGCUAUCAGAUGAGCCUAGGUCGGAUUAGCUAGUUGGUGGGGUAAAGGCCUACCAAGGCGACGAUCCGUAACUGGUCUGAGAGGAUGAUCAGUCACACUGGAACUGAGACACGGUCCAGACUCCUACGGGAGGCAGCAGUGGGGAAUAUUGGACAAAGGGCGAAAGCCUGAUCCAGCCAUGCCGCGUGUGUGAAGAAGGUCUUCGGAUUGUAAAGCACUUUAAGUUGGGAGGAAGGGCAGUAAGUUAAUACCUUGCUGUUUUGACGUUACCAACAGAAUAAGCACCGGCUAACUUCGUG
rnacentral:rRNA from 1 species